rnacentral:rRNA from 1 species
GCAGGGUUUGAUCAUGGCUCAGAUUGAACGCUGGCGGGAUGUUUUACACAUGCAAGUCGAACGGCAGCACGGGACUUCGGUCUGGGUGGCGAGUGGCGAACGGGUGAGUAAUGUAUCGGAACGUGCCUAGUAAGCGGGGAUAACUACGCGAAAGGUAGCUAAUACCGCACAUUGCCCUUCGUGGGGAAAGCGGGGACCUCGGGAGCCCGCUGCACUAUUAGAGCGGCCGAUAUCGGAUUACGCAGUUGGUGGGGUAACGGCUCACCAAGGCGACGAUCCGUAGCUGGUUUGAGAGGACGACCAGCCACACCGGGACUGAGCACGGCCCAGACUCCUACGGGAGGCAGCAGUGGGAAUUUUGGACAAUGGGAACCCUGAUCCAGCCAUCCCCAAGUGUGCGAUGAAGGCCUUCGGGUUGUAAAGCAACCCUUUGGCAAGAAAGAAACGGCACGGAUAAUACCCCGUGCAACUGACGGUACCUGGUAAGCAACUCGGCUAACUACGCCAGCAGCCGCGGUAAUACGUAGGGUGCAAGGCAUCGGAAUUACUGGGCGUAAAGCGUGCAGGCGGUUCGGAAAGAAAGAUGAAACCCAGAGCUUAACUUUGGAACUGCAUUUUUAACUACCGAGCUAGAGUGUGUCAGAGGGAGGUGGAAUUCCGCGUGGGUCAGCAGGAAAUGCGCAGAUAUGCGGAGGAACACCGAUGGCGAAGGCAGCCUUGAUAACACUGACGCCCAUGCACGAAAGCGUGGGGAGCAAACAGGAUUAGAUACCCCGGGUAGUCCACGCCCUAAACGAUGUCAAUCAGCUGUUGGGGCCUUCUGGCCUUGGUAGCAGCUAACGCGUAGUUGACCGCCUGGGGAGUACGGUCGCAAGAUUAAAAACUCCUGUGCGCUGAAUUGACGGGACUCGCACAAGCGGUGGAUGAUGUGGAUUAUUCGAUGCAACGCGAAAAACCUUACCUACCCUUGACAUGUCUGGAAUCCCGAAGAGAUUUGGGAGUGCUCGCAAGAGAACCGGAACACAGGUGCUGCAUGGCUGUCGUCAGCUCGUGUCGUGAGAUGUUGGGUUAAGUCCCGCAACGAGCGCAACCCUUGUCAUUAGUUGCUACGAAAGGCACUCUAAUGAGACUGCCGGUGACAAACCGGAGAAGGUGGGGAUGACGUCAAGUCCUCAUGGCCCUUAUGGGUAGGGCUUCACACGUCAUACAAUGGUCGGGACAGAGGGCUCGCCAACCCGCGAGGGGGAGCUGCUAAUCCCCAGAAACCCGAUCGUGAAGUCCGGAUCGCAGUCUGCAACUCGACUGCGUGAAGUCGGAAUCGCUAGUAACGUGGAUCAAAGCGUCGCGGUGAAUACGUCUCUUCGGGUCUUGCACACCGCCCGUCACACCAUGGGAGUGGGUUUUACCAGAAGUAGUUAGCCUAACCGUAAGGAGGGCGAUUACCAGCACGGUAGGAUUCAUGACUGGGGUGAAGCUGCAACAAGGUAACUCCAGCCACACUGAUG